ACUCCUACGGGAGGCAGCAGUAGGGGGAACUCCGCAAUGGGCGAAAGCCUGACGGAGCAACGCCGCGUGAGUGAAGAAGGUCUUCGGAUCGUAAAACUCUGUUAUUAGGGAAGAACAAAUGUGUAAGUAACUAUGCACGUCUUGACGGUACCUAAUCAGAAAGCCACGGCUAACUACGUGCCAGCAGCCGCGGUAAUAC
rnacentral:rRNA from 1 species